rnacentral:rRNA from 1 species
GAGUUUGAUCCUGGCUCAGAUUGAACGCUGGCGGCAUGCCUUACACAUGCAAGUCGAACGGCAGCAUGAUCUAGCUUGCUAGAUUGAUGGCGAGUGGCGAACGGGUGAGUAAUACAUCGGAACGUGCCCUGUAGUGGGGAUAACUAGUCGAAAGAUUAGCUAAUACCGCAUACGACCUGAGGGUGAAAGUGGGGGACCGCAAGGCCUCAUGCUAUAGGAGCGGCCGAUGUCUGAUUAGCUAGUUGGUGGGGUAAAGGCCCACCAAGGCGACGAUCAGUAGCUGGUCUGAGAGGACGAUCAGCCACACUGGGACUGAGACACGGCCCAGACUCCUACGGGAGGCAGCAGUGGGGAAUUUUGGACAAUGGGCGAAAGCCUGAUCCAGCAAUGCCGCGUGUGUGAAGAAGGCCUCGGUUGUAAGUACGACUUU